rnacentral:tRNA from 1 species
GCCCUGCUGGCGCAAUGGUAGCGCGCGAGACUUCUAAUCUCGAGGUUGCGGGUUCGAGUCCCGCGUGGGGCU